GACGAACGCUGGCGGCGUGCCUAACACAUGCAAGUCGAACGGUUCUCGAGGUUCGACAUUCGAGGUUCGAAGUUCGAGUGAACGCAAGCCUUUGGGGUCCUUGACCCGAAAGGAAUGCUUGAAUCGAACCACGAAUUUCGAACGUCGAACUUCGAGGAUAGUGGCGGACGGGUGAGUAACGCGUGGAUAACCUGCCUGGUAGACCGGGAUAACAGCUGGAAACGGCUGCUAAUACCGGAUACGCUCGGGAGUUCGCAUGAACACUCGAGGAAAGCUUUCGUGCUAUCAGAUGGGUCCGCGUCCCAUUAGCUAGUUGGUGGUGUAAAGGACCACCAAGGCGACGAUGGGUAGCCGGCCUGAGAGGGCGACCGGCCACACUGGGACUGAGACACGGCCCAGACUCCUACGGGAGGCAGCAGUGGGGAAUCUUCCGCAAUGGGCGAAAGCCCGACGGAGCAACGCCGCGUGAGGGAAGAAGGCCUUCGGGUUGUAAACCUCUGUUUUUAGGGACGAAGAGAUGACGGUACCUAAAGAGUAAGCUCCGGCUAACUACGUGCCAGCAGCCGCGGUAAUACGUAGGGAGCGAGCGUUGUCCGGAAUUACUGGGCGUAAAGGGCGCGUAGGUGGUCCAUUAAGUUACUGGUGAAAGUUCGGGGCUUAACCCCGUGAUUGCCUGUAAUACUGGUGGACUUGAGUGCAGGAGAGGGGAGUGGAAUUCCCAGUGUAGCGGUGAAAUGCGUAGAUAUUGGGAGGAACACCAGUGGCGAAGGCGGCUCUCUGGACUGUAACUGACACUGAGGCGCGAAAGCGUG
rnacentral:rRNA from 1 species